AUUCUGUUUAUAGAUGUGAUACAAGCACUGUAGAAUUUAUAAGAAAUGAACGAUGACCAAUUUCUGGAUUUUAAUUUUGAUCUCCAGCACCAUGUAUACAGUUCAACCUGGUAGACGCUGGGUUACUGCACAAUCCACUACAGAGUCACCAGUUUAUCAGCCUGAUAAAGAGCUCAGUGUGACUAUUGGCCACUCGGCCACUCUGCGGUGUUGCGUUCCAGAAAACACAUUUGGAAUAAUUACGUGGUUUAAGCAAACAAACAGAGAAAAACCUCAGAUUAUAGUCACAGUGUAUAAAAAUGGUGGAGAAGUGUUUUACACUGGAUUCCAAAAGUCUCGUUUUCGAAUAGAAAGAUCUUCUAACUGCUUCAAUAUGACCAUUUCAAACAUCAUUCAGUCUGAUGAAGCCAUGUACUACUGUGCACUGACGAGAGUCAACCUUGUGUUUGGAGAUGGAACUUAUUUUAAAAUUAAAGAAACAUCUAAACCUGCUCUGAGUGAUAAUUCAGUGGUGUGUGAACCAACACUGCAUGGAAACAACACUAACAUGAACACACAGGAAAACACAGGACAUUCCGCAGAACAGAGUCAGGAAUCUGAAGCUGAAUCACUGAAUUAUGCAGCUUUGCAGUUCUCCAAGAAGAAAGCCAAAGCUGAAAAAAGGAAACGUGGCUCAUCAGAUGAGUGUGUGUACUCCGAUGUGAAGAAAACUGUAAGAUAUAACAUAGUUGAUUUAUAACCCGACCAAUACAUGUAAAGUAAAUGCACUUCAUAUAUUUAAUUUCAGUGAUAUGACAUAUGUUAUGCAAACAGAAAAAGGCAGAAAAUAAUUCUAGAAAUAAUCCUUUUUUUUUACACUAAUCUCAUAACAAAAAAUAUAUUAAAGUUGCAUGUAUUUAAGAUGUUUUUCAUUUUUUUUCAGUUUAGAGACAUUGCUAUGCUUCAGGAUUUAUUUCUGUGCUCAUGGUUAAAGGAAAUACUCAUGUUUAUGUAUUUUAAACUAUUAUUUCUUUGAAGUGUUGAAGUAUGAACUUUCAGUCACAGUGAAAUUCUAAAAAAUCCAACUUGUAUUAUUUUUUGUUCUGUGAUUUUUUGUAAUGCAUCUGUAUUUUGUGCUGUACAGAUUUUAUGUCCUCAUUUGUAUGACUAAUUAUUGGUAAUGACGGAAUAAAUGUAAAAAUC